GUGGUCCUUUAUGUAAUGCCUUUCUUUCUUUAUAACUAGUGUUAAUAAAUAAGCUUUAGCCUUUGUCUUUGCUUAUAGACAUCAAGAAUCUGAUUUCAAGCCAGGGCUCACACAGACUUGAUGUAAAGUCUAAAUGAGGAGAGUGGUAAUGCUGGCGAAUGCGCUGCGAUGGGACCGCCACCUGUCUGGAUUGCAGGAGAAAUAUUGUUUGUCAAGCUUCAAGUUUAAAUCCAAGUAACUGUGGACAGCUGACGGGAAGCAACUGUGAAUCGAUCCUGGGAAUGAACAUUUGAGUCAUUUGGCUGGUUUAUGUCUCCUGUGUAGAGGUGUAGCUUCACAAAAUGCCUACUGCCUGCAGGAAGAACUCCCUCCGAACAGAUUCUCUACCUGAGCAUCAGGGAAGGAAAUAAAUCUGGAACUGGUGACAUUUCAAG
rnacentral:lncRNA from 1 species